rnacentral:rRNA from 1 species
GGAGGGUGCAAGCGUUGUUCGGAAUUACUGGGCGUAAAGAGCGCGUAGGCGGCCUCUUAUGUCAGGUGUGAAAGCCCUCGGCCCAACCGAGGAAGUGCGCCUGAAACUGAGUGGCUUGAGUACGAGAGAGGAGGACGGAAUUCCCAGUGUAGAGGUGAAAUUCGUAGAUAUUGGGAAGAACACCGGUGGCGAAAGCGGUUCUCUGGAUCGAUACUGACGCUAAGGCGCGAAAGCGUGGGGAGCAAACAGGAUUAGAUACCCUGGUAGUCCACGCUGUAAACGAUGGAUAUUAGUUGUUGCGGGCUUAUAAACUCGCAGUGACGACGCUAACGCAUUAAAUAUCCCGCCUGGGGAUUACGGCCGCAAGGUUA